GAUGAACGCUAGCGGCAGGCCUAACACAUGCAAGUCGAGGGGUAGAACACUUCGGUGUUUGAGACCGGCGCACGGGUACGUAACGCGUAUGCAAUCUACCUCGUACAGGGGAAUAGCCCAGAGAAAUUUGGAUUAAUGCCCCAUAGUAUAUAACCUUCGCAUGUUGGUUAUAUUAAAGUUCCAACGGUACAAGAUGAGCAUGCGUCCCAUUAGUUAGUUGGUAAGGUAACGGCUUACCAAGACGAUGAUGGGUAGGGGUCCUGAGAGGGAGAUCCCCCACACUGGUACUGAGACACGGACCAGACUCCUACGGGAGGCAGCAGUGAGGAAUAUUGGUCAAUGGGCGCAAGCCUGAACCAGCCAUGCCGCGUGCAGGAAGACGGUCCUAUGGAUUGUAAACUGCUUUUAUACAGGAAGAAACCCUCCCACGUGUGGGAGAUUGACGGUACUGUAGGAAUAAGGAUCGGCUAACUCCGUGCCAGCCGCCGCGGUAACAC
rnacentral:rRNA from 1 species